rnacentral:rRNA from 1 species
AUUGAACGCUGGCGGCAGGCCUAACACAUGCAAGUCGAACGUGUGUCGGACGGGGGAGUAUUGUCUGGGAAACUGCCCGAUGGAGGGGGAUAACUACUGGAAACGGUAGCUAAUACCGCAUACCAUCGGAUGGUCCCAGAUGGGAUUAGCUUGUAGGUGAGGUAACGGCUAACCUAGGCGACGUUCCCUAGCUGGUCUGAGCGGAUGACCAGCAAAACUGGAACUGAGAAACGGUCCAGACUCCUACGGGAGGAGGCGGUGGGAAAUAUUGCAAAAUGGGCGCAAGCCUGAUGCAGCCAGGCCGCGUGUAUGAAGAAGGCCUUCGGGUUGUAAAGUACUUUCAGCGGGGCGGCGUUACCCGCAGAAGAAGCACCGGCUAACUCCGUGCCAGCAGCCGCGGUAAUUC